rnacentral:rRNA from 1 species
GAUGAACGCUGGCGGCGUGUCUAAUACAUGCAAGUCGAGCGAACGGACGAGAAGCUUGCUUCUCUGAUGUUAGCGGCGGACGGGUGAGUAACACGUGGAUAACCUACCUAUAAGACUGGGAUAACUUCGGGAAACCGGAGCUAAUACCGGAUAAUAUUUUGAACCGCAUGGUUCAAUAGUGAAAGACGGUCUUGCUGUCACUUAUAGAUGGAUCCGCGCUGCAUUAGCUAGUUGGUAAGGUAGCGGCUUACCAAGGCAACGAUGCAUAGCCGACCUGAGAGGGUGAUCGGCCACACUGGAACUGAGACACGGUCCAGACUCCUACGGGAGGCAGCAGUAGGGAAUCUUCCGCAAUGGGCGAAAGCCUGACGGAGCAACGCCGCGUGAGUGAUGAAGGUCUUCGGAUCGUAAAACUCUGUUAUUAGGGAAGAACAUAUGUGUAAGUAACUGUGCACAUCUUGACGGUACCUAAUCAGAAAGCCACGGCUAACUACGUG